rnacentral:lncRNA from 10 species
UCCAGGGCCAUUAUCACCACACCAAGAGAAACAAUAUCCAAAGCUGGAAGUGAAAAUGUGAUCUACAAGGAAGAUUAACAAAAAUGAAGAGUGUUUCUGAUUAUCACGGUAAUUUUCUUAGCCACAAAUAGGAUUCUGAAUCUAAAGAAUCAGGAUGCUGUUUGGCACAUCACAGUAUAAACUUGCUAAAUAGUAAGUUAUGAACCUAGAAUAUAAAUAGGCUUCUAAGAUAUUUUCCUUACUAUAAGCAGUGGCUUAGAUAUAAGAAGACUCUGGCUAAUCUUCUAGAGCAGUUUGUUGGCAUGAAAUAGACCUUGUAAAUAUUUUAUGUAUGUCCUUCCAGACUGACUAAUCUAAGAACAAAGGUUUUCAAUUGUACCCUGAAAGUUUAUCCUCAAGAAAUGGUGUACUCUAUAUUUUAGAGCUACAAACAUCUGUAGAAAAUUCCCAUCUACAAGUUUUUGAAAUUGAAUGACAGGACUGUCAGUAGUGGUGGUGUCUGUCUGUUUCCAUGUCAGUGGGUAAUGGCAAUUUUGGGUUUUUUUUUGAGCCUCAAGCAUUUAGCACCUAGUAACUUUAAUCUAAAUCCCCUGAAUUUCUGAAAUCAUAUUUUUUACUUGUGUAAAGAAAUGGACAUCUAUUUCUGUAAAGAAGGUUACAAUCUUUCAUAACUAAAGGACAAUUUAAAACACUUGUUUUGUAAUAUUGAAAUGUUUUGAAAUAAAAUAUCUGGUCAUAAUGUUACCUAAUUAUUCUGUUACUAAGACUAAUACCUUGGAAUUCAUUAUUCAGCCAUUAAAGAAACGUUUAUUUCAAUUGUAAGAAGCAGCACAUAAACUGUUCUUACUUGUCUAUUCUUUUUUUAAAAAGUCCUGCAGAAAUAUGGUGACUUUUUAAUCUAAAUUUUCUGAAAGUAAGCAAGGGAAGAGAAAAAUUAUUACUUUUGAAUAUACGAUGCAGUAAAAUUUUCCUUUAUAUAAAAGUUUCUUUUGGAAAAAUUAUUUGAUAAUAGAAUAUGCACAGGACCCGUUAGUAUUUUGCAAUGUUCCUUCAAAUUAUUGUUUUCUACUCAGUCUGAUGAUAAGUGGUCCAAUACAGUAAUGAGUUUUUUCUAUCCCUCUGGAUAGUCAGUUUUUUUCAUUUAACAUUUUUUAUACAUUAACUCAUAUAAUUUCUAGUUAUGUCAUUGACUAAUUUAGCCAUAUAUGUUUAUAUGUAUAUAAUAUUGACUAAUACUCUGCCUAUUCACAGAAACGUCAUGUUAUUCCAAAUUCCUAGUCUGACAAAUUUAAACCAUGCAAUACAUGCAAACAUCAAUAAACAGAACAGACACUAAUCUGAGGAAUAUAUAAGGAAAAACUCAAAAAUCUCAAACUUGUAUUGGAGGCAAUUUCUUAUGGGAAAAAUAUACUUUGAUCCUAAGACAGAUAAGUCAGAUCUAUUAAAUUAUAAUGAGCCCACAGUCCAGCUUAAGUAAAAUUCUAUAGAUAUGAUCUUAAUGUGGAGCUCACAUUGAUGAGAUUUUAAGUGUUUCAUUCCUGCGUAAGGUUAUCUAUGUUCUGCUUUUAUUUAUUUUCUAGCAGUUAGUUUUUCACAGUGUGGCUUUGCCACACUCAGAAACAAAGGAGCAUCAUCAUUAUUAUUACUAUGAUAACAUUUACAUAGAAGACAGUAGCAGGUGCAGAGUCCACAAUUAAGAUGAAUUCCACUGCAGUAUAUGAGAUGGAUUGCAGAAGACAGGCAAAGCGCAUUCAACCAUGAACAAAUAAAGUACAUUAAACUGAAUAUGCUCACAAUAUCAACUCGAAACAAUGCAAAAUACUAUCUUCAGACUAGUUUCUGUCAUUUAACUUGAAUUACAGAAGAACGCUGGCAAAAUUGUCGAUAAUCUACAAGCUAAUCAGAGCAAGAAGAAAGCACAUUCUCUCUAGGUGUAGGAUGAAUAAUGGCAACACAAUGUAAACUUAUCUGCUGUGUUAAAGGGCCGUUAGCCUUCAUUCUGACGACUCCUUCGUGCUGUACUCAGGGCCUUGCCUUUGUGCUCUAACAGCUCCUGGUACAUACUAGAUUCUAUCAAAAAAUUGGUCUUAUUUAUUUUACUAUUUCAAAUUUUUAUUGUGAAAAAUUUAAACAUACAGAAAAUGUUAAUGAAUAAUAUAACCAAAUUUGUAUACUUAUCACCCAGAUUUAAUCAUUAAUAUUUGCCAAAUUUGCAUUAUCUUAUUUAUUUAUUUAUUUUUUGAAAUGGAGUUUUGCUGUUGUUGCCCAGGCUGGAGUGUAAUGAUGCGAUCUUGGCUCACUGCAACCUCCACCUCCCGGGUUCAAGCAAUUCUUGUGCCUCGGCCUCCCGAGUAGCUGGGAUUACAGGCAUGCUCCACACCUUGCUAAUUUUGUAUUUUUAGUAGAGACAGGGUUUCACCAUGUUGGCCAGGCUGGUCUCAAACUCCUGACCUUAAGUGAUGCACCCACCUCGGCCUCCCAAAGUGCUGGGAUUACAGGUGUGAGCUACUGUGCCCAGACACAUUAUAUCUAUAUAUGCCUACAUGACCAGACCAUUAGAGAGUAAGAUUUCAGUAUGAAUCUCCUAAGAACAACUAACAUAACCACAACACAAUUAACACACCUAAGAAAAGCACAAUGACUCAAUGUCUAAUAUUCAUUCUGUAUUCAAAUUCACCUAAUUAUCUUAAAAAAUGUCUGUUCUGGCUGUGAUUUUUGUUUUCUUUUUAACCAAUAGCCUAUUAAGGGAAACUAAAUCUUGAAAUGGUAGCUUAAUUCUAUGGGCCAUCUGGCUCAGACACAGAUCCAACUUAAAAAUGGCAUAAACAAAAGUAUUUCUCUCUCAUUUAACAGUCUGGACAUGUGCCAGUACAGGGCACUUUGGGUGGCUCUUCCAUCCUCAGCUCAUGGCUUCAUCUCUCAGUUGAAAUGUGGCAGCUCUAGCCCCAUGGUCAUGCCAUAGAGAAGGCACAGGGGAGCACACACUCCCAGGGCAUGAUCCAGAUGUUGUAGAUACAAGUUCUGUUCACAUUCCAUUAUAUAGGAUGUUGACACAUAAUCCUACUAUUUGCAGCAGAGGCUGAGAAAAACAGUUCUUAUUAUUGAUGGCCAUGUGUCUAAAUUUCCCUGGACCUGUGAAUCUUGUGUAUAAAGGAAGAAUAUUUUAAGGGCUGCAAUUAGCUUUCUCUGCUAUGAGGUAUUUCUGGAAAUGACUGAGCUAUGACAAACUAUAUUAAAAUUAAUUCCCAAGACACUGCAACAUAAUGAUGGGUUUAAGCUUAUUAAUGGUUAAGACUGUUUUUCUCUUACACUGAAUAAGCUUCAUGUUAUUAAUAUUCAUUUUGAGUUCAUCAACGUGUUUUUUUUUUUAGAUUUUCUUUGUCCCUCCUUGUCAGUAUAUAAGCUGUCCAUGCUCAUUAAUGGAACCAUGCUUUCUUCCCUUACCAGUUUUUAUUGUUAAGUUUUUUAAAAUAAAAUGUAUUUAAGUAUUAAUAUACAUGAAGGAAAGUUCACAAAUCAUAAUUUACAGCAUGGUGAAGCCAGUAAAACAUACUUGUAAACACCACUUGGAUCAAGAAAUGGAACAUGUCAGUGUUCUAGAAGCAUUUUUGGUAACCUCUAAAUAUUACUCCUUUCUUCUCCCAAAGAUAACGAUUAUUCUGACCUUUGACACCAUGGUUCAAUAUUGUAUGUUUUUGAAUUUUAUAUACGCAAAAAUCAUUCAAUACACAUUCCUUUUUGUCUGACAUUUCUUGUUCAAUAGUAUGCUUAUGAGAUUCACUGAUAUUAUUGCAUGUAGCAGUAGUUCAUUCAUUUUCAUUGCCUAUGGGAUUGUAUGAACACAGUAUAAUUUAUUUAUCCAUUAAAUAAUUGAUGAACACCUGGAUUGCUUCUAGUUCUUGGCUACUACAAAUACAGUCACUCAGACCAUUAUUGUAUGUAUAUUUUGGUGCACAUAUGUAUAUAUUUGUUAAAUAUAUAUAGUUCUUGGGAAUGAAAUUGCUGGUUUAUGGGGUAAUUAGUAUGUGUAUAUUCAUUUUUCUUGCCUUAUUUCACGCAGACUUCUAGUACAAUGUUGAAUAGAAGUCAUCAUAAAGAGAAUUCUUGUCUUGCUCAGGACCUCAAGGAAAAAUCUUUCGCCACUGCACCUACUUCACCGUUAAGUAUGAUAUCGUUUGCUUUAGGAGUUUUGCAAAUAUCAUUCGUCAGAUUAAGAAAAUUCUUUCUAGUCCUAAUAUUCUAAGGUUCUCUUGUGGGUAUGGAGUGAAUAUUUUAUCAAAUGCUUUUAUUAUUGAGGUGAUUAUAUAAUUUUCCUCUUUAUAACCAGCCUUGCAUUCCUGAAAUAAACCCAAUUUCUUGGUGAUAUAUUAUCCCUAAAUAUCCCAUGUAUCAAAGAAGAUAUUACGUUGGAAAUUAUAUAUGUUUAACUGAAUUAUAAUGAAAGUAUGACAUAUAUCUUUUUGUUUUUUGAGACAGAGUUUCACUCUU